ACUUACCUAACCAACAUGAUCAAUCAUGUUUCGAUUAGAUCACUUAAUGAUUGGGGUUGAUCCAUGCUAACUAAAAAAUCAGUAUGAUUGAUUUAGAUGCCCCUAAUUCAACUUGUCUAAAAUCUUUUUCAUGACUUGGUGAAGUCAGUGGGAGGAUUUAUGACUAGUUGACUGAACCAGCUUAUGCCUAGUUUUCUUUGAUCUGACUUGGUGAAGUCAAUGGGAGGAUUAAUAUUAAUUGGUCAAAUCUUUUUUCAUCUUUAAUUUCAUCUAUAUAAUUCUUUUAAAAUUAUUAGAUCCCUA
rnacentral:lncRNA from 1 species